GGAGGUGUAACACAGGGAGAAGAGCUAAUAAAUGACCUUUCCAAUACUGUGAUCAAGUUAAACCCACCAAAAAAUGAUAGGUGAGAAAUGGCUGUUCCUAGUGAAGCUGAGCUCCUUCAGGGUUCCCUGUCCUUGUUAUGCCAGUCCUAUGUAAGCUGCUGCUAAGCCCUAUGCCCUGCUGAGGCCUCACCCUGUGGAUGCAGACCCCAAACGUGGAGCCUGGACACAGCAGUGACCAUCGCUGCAGGGCUGCACACACCUCGAGCCUUCCUUGUCAAAGUCUCCAGAAGGAAUGCCUUGUGCAGAAAGAACAUUAAAUAAAAAGCAAACUUCCAGAAGCAGCCUUCUUUAUUUAUUUUUUUUUUUCCUGUGGAGAAAUACUUCCUUACCCCCAGUGAAUUCAUACACAUUUUUAGAAAAAUAUGCUCUUUUGUAGGAUUUUGUAAGAUGGCAGGAGCCAAAGGGCUCUGCAGAGCCUUGUGUUGCAGUCAAAGUUCAAAAAGCACUGUAAAAUGUUAUAGCAGUCCAAUGAGAGGAAAGGGGGAGGCAACUGUGAAGCCCCAUGAGGUUCCCUAAGGGCACCAUCCUGCAUCUGCAGAGGAUAAAGAGGAUUUUAGACAACUGUUGGACCUUUUCUCAGCUCCAGCCAGAGGUCCUGGUGAUGCAUUGCAGCACAACAACCUUUUCCAGCUCACCACAGGGCCCUGAUGGCAUCCAGGCUGCUGCAAUACCAGGGACCUGA
rnacentral:lncRNA from 1 species